rnacentral:misc_RNA from 1 species
CAGAGUUGCAAAACUCCCAACCCUUGCUAAAACAACCACUGUUUCUUUCGGCGGGUGGCCUCCUGGCCGCGCGCCACCCUCCUCGUGGGGGGACGCACCCCGCCGGAGCACACUAAACUCUUGUCAUUACUGGAUGCUCUGAGUACAAAACAAAAAUUAUUA